rnacentral:rRNA from 1 species
UACGUAGGGUGCGAGCGUUAAUCGGAAUUACUGGGCGUAAAGCGUGCGCAGGCGGUUUUGUAAGACAGAUGUGAAAUCCCCGGGCUUAACCUGGGAACUGCAUUUGUGACUGCACGGCUAGAGUGUGUCAGAGGGGGGUAGAAUUCCACGUGUAGCAGUGAAAUGCGUAGAGAUGUGGAGGAAUACCGAUGGCGAAGGCAGCCCCCUGGGAUAACACUGACGCUCAUGCACGAAAGCGUGGGGAGCAAACAGG